CCGACAUUCCUUCAAAUUCCGUCUUCGAAAGAAACGCAGCAUAACGUUUUCUCACAUUAGAAUUCUGAAAAUUCACUUUCUCUGCACGAAAACGUGAAGAUAAGCUUUUUUGAAAUAGUAAUGCCGCUGCCCAAACAGUGUCGAAGGCGUAGCUUGUGUAAGGUCUUGGAUUCUUGUGUCUUCGACUCAUGCUGUCCAGGAAUCUUUUUGCAGUCUUCAAAAUAAAUUGGAACAGGGCAAACUAUUAGCUUAGUUAUUGAAGUUUUGAACUGUAAAGAACUUGUUUUUUAGGUUUAAAGUUGUUGCUUUGAUCAAAUUCAGUUAGAUUUUUCGGUUGCGCGCGUUCGACCG